rnacentral:rRNA from 1 species
GUGCCAGCAGCCGCGGUAAUACGUAGGGUGCGAGCGUUAAUCGGAAUUACUGGGCGUAAAGCGUGCGCAGGCGGUUUGUUAAGUCAGAUGUGAAAGCCCCGGGCUUAACCUGGGAAUGGCAUUUGAAACUGGCAGGCUGGAGUGCGGCAGAGGGGGGUGGAAUUCCACGUGUAGCAGUGAAAUGCGUAGAGAUGUGGAGGAACACCGAUGGCGAAGGCAGCCCCCUGGGCCGACACUGACGCUCAGGCACGAAAGCGUGGGGAGCAAACAGGAUUAGAUACCCGAGUAGUCC